rnacentral:misc_RNA from 1 species
GAUGAAGAACGCAGCGAAAUGCGAUAAGUAGUGUGAAUUGCAGAAUUCAGUGAAUCAUCGAAUCUUUGAACGCGCAUUGCGCCCCUUGGUAUUCCAUGGGGCAUGCCUGUUCGAGCGUCAUUUGUACCUUCAAGCUUUGCUUGGUGUUGGGUGUUUGUCCCGAGGGACUCGCCUUAAAGUAAUUGGCAGCCAGUGUUUGGUUUUGAAGCGCAGCACAAGUCGCGAUUCAAGGCUACACGCCCGCUUCCACAAGCCUUUUUUCACUUUUGACCUCGGAUCAGGUAGGGAUACCCGCUGAACUUAAGCAUAUCAAUAAGCGGAGGA